AGAGUUUGAUCCUGGCUCAGGAUGAACGCUGGCGGCGUGCCUAACACAUGCAAGUCGAGCGAUUUACUUCGGUAAAGAGCGGCGGACGGGUGAGUAACGCGUGGGUAACCUGCCCUGUACACACGGAUAACAUACCGAAAGGUAUGCUAAUACGAGAUAAAAUACUUUUAUCGCAUGGUAGAAGUAUCAAAGCUUUUGCGGUACAGGAUGGACCCGCGUCUGAUUAGCUAGUUGGUAAGGUAACGGCUUACCAAGGCGGCGAUCAGUAGCCGACCUGAGAGGGUGAUCGGCCACAUUGGAACUGAGACACGGUCCAAACUCCUACGGGAGGCAGCAGUGGGGAAUAUUGCACAAUGGGCGAAAGCCUGAUGCAGCAACGCCGCGUGAGUGAAGAAGGCCUUCGGGUCGUAAAGCUCUGUUGCGGGGGAAAAAAGGCAGCAUCAGGAAAUGGGUGCUGACUGAUGGUGCCCCACCAGAAAGUCACGGCUAACUACGUGCCAGCAGCCGCGGUAAUACGUAGGUGGCGAGCGUUAUCCGGAUUCACUGGGUGUAAAGGGAGCGUAGACGGCCAUGCAAGCCAGGGGUGAAAGCCCGGGGCCCAACCCCGGGACUGCCCUUGGAACUGUGCGGCUGGAGUGCGGGAGGGGCAGGCGGAAUUCCUGGUGUAGCGGUGAAAUGCGUAGAUAUCAGGAGGAACACCGGCGGCGAAGGCGGCCUGCUGGACCGCGACUGACGUUGAGGCUCGAAAGCGUGGGGAGCGAACAGGAUUAGAUACCCUGGUAGUCCACGCCGUAAACGAUGACUACUAGGUGUCGGGGGACGACAGUGCCCCGGUGCCGGCGCAAACGCAAUAAGUAGUCCACCUGGGGAGUACGUCCGCAAGGAUGAAACUCAAAGGAAUUGACGGGGACCCGCACAAGCGGUGGAGCAUGUGGUUUAAUUCGAAGCAACGCGAAGAACCUUACCUGGCCUUGACAUCCCCACGGAUGCAGGGCAAUGCCUGCAGCCCCUCGGGGCGUGGGAGACAGGUGGUGCAUGGUUGUCGUCAGCUCGUGUCGUGAGAUGUUGGGUCAAGUCCCGCAACGAGCGCAACCCCUGCCCCUAGUAGCCAGCACGUAGAGGUGGGCACUCUAGGGGGACUGCCGGGGACAACCCGGAGGAAGGCGGGGACGACGUCAAAUCAUCAUGCCCCUUAUGGCCAGGGCUACACACGUGCUACAAUGGCGCGCACAGAGGGAAGCGAGGCGGCGACGCGGAGCGAAGCCCGGGAAGCGCGCCCCAGUUCGGAUUGCAGCCUGCAACUCGGCUGCAUGAAGCCGGAAUCGCUAGUAAUCGCGGAUCAGAACGCCGCGGUGAAUACGUUCCCGGGUCUUGCACACACCGCCCGUCA
rnacentral:rRNA from 1 species